CUGCAGGCAACGGAUUGUCUGCUGCUUUAUAAAUACACCUGGCACAGCACAGCUCAACGUCUGCAUAAAUCAAUUGCGGCAAUUUCGUGAACUAAACAAGUUUAUUUACAGAAAUGUUUGGUCUUUACAAUUGCACACAA
rnacentral:snoRNA from 1 species